AGCCGCUCCAAGUGCAUCAGCGGAGGCGCGAAAAACACACGCGCGGCAUAAGUGGUUCAGCGCGGGGGUGAGACGGCAUCGCACGCCGUUUAUUUCGUGCGCCCACUCUCGCACGCUGCACACUCAAGCAACCGCGCUGCGACUUUCACCUACCCUCAAUUCAGGUGCCGUCGCCGCCGCCGCCGCCUGCACCACCUUAUUUGCUCCCGCGACCCGAUGGCGCUUCCCCGGUCUAUCCCUACGCCGCUGCUGCUUCCUCCGUGUCCCUCUAGUCACCGUCGCCCCUAGCGCGCAUCAUUCCUCCGACGAACAACGCCCGGCCGCCCACUGCCGCUCGACGCCCACAAGGUGUUCGACAAAACGCUUGCAAGGUAUGUAUUGCUUCAACUUCAUGUUUUUUAUAUGAAUUUGGUGCAUGUUGUUUGUAGUUUUUAUAGACUAGUUUAAAUUCAAUAUUGUAGAUGAGUUCGUCAUACGAUUGUUCUGAAGAAGAAUUUGAUAUUGAGGAGGAGGACCUUGCAAUGAUCCUAGUUAUGCACAUCAAUAAAAAACCGAAGCACAGUGGUUUGAUUAUGGGUUAGUAAAAAAUUGGAGGGAUAAAUUAUUUGUUUGAGUUGUAAUAAAAUUGAACUAUUUAUUGUUGAUUUUUUUUGUUUGAUCUUCUUGGUUUUAUUUGGAGUGCAUAUGUUGUUUGUAUUGGUUGCGUGCGCCGUUUUUUUGCAGCGCAUGCUGGAGCGGCUCACGCGCAUUAUAUAUUUCAGCGGCCGCUGGAGCCAGCGCUCAGCUGCGUGCAAAAACGAGCUAUUUCGACGUUGUAAAGACGUUUUUUGAGCGCCGAACGUUGCGCGCCUGUUGAAGGUGCUCUAAUAACAAAUGGCGGCGCUAGAAUUGGACCGAGCCCCGAGCCGCCCCGGCCCAACUUUGAGCAAUGUACGUAGCUAUAGUUAGGGCUACAAGAAAAGUUCAAGGCUCGUGAGCGGACUAAGAUUGACUUCAAAAGAAAAAUGCGAUGGGUUUGAACAUUUCAUGUGGUUCAAUCAAGAAAUGAGCUGAUCUUGAGUCAACACUGGCUGACUCAAUUCUAGCUCGAUAGAAUAUACCCCCUCCAUUUUUUAAUCGAGCAAUGCUUCGGUACAUCCCUCUCAUAAAACGUAUAAAGGGUAGUAUGAACUUCGUUGUCCGUAAUGGCAAAUCUACGCGUUUUUGGUUAGAUUGGUGGGUCGGGGACUCUAUUCUUGCGGUGGCUUACCCGACUUUGUUUUCGUUUUGUGCUAACCCUGAGAUCUCUAUCUCUGAGCUCUCGGCUUAGGGUUGGGUUUUAGAUUUCCGGCGCUCUCUUUCCCCUGUGGAGUUGGAAGAAUGGCAACGCCUUACUGCCUGCUUCCCCCUGCUCUCGGAGGAAGAGUACUCCGUUUUUUGGCCCCACUCCCCUUCGGGGCGUUUUUCUGUUAAGUCGGCGUAUUCGCUUCUCAUCGCUGGUGUUCGCACUGACAAGUUUAAACUUAUUUGGUCUGCCCGCAUAUCUCCUAAGAUCAAAAUCUUCCUUUGGCAAGCUCUUCGUCGCAAACUUCCUGCGGCUGACCAAAUUAAAAAGAGGAAUGGGCCGGGUUCUGAUAGUUGUCAUCUGUGUGGCGCCCUAGAGGAUACAGAACAUAUCUUCUUCCAGUGCUCUUUGGCAAAAUUCAUUUGGAGUUGCAUUAGACUUUGGCUUCAUGUUCCUUGGAACCCUUCCUCUUUUGCGGAUCUUCGGCGAUGUAUCAAUUCUCUAGCAGGCCGGUCUAAGCGGGUUUUCAUGGUGGGCUGGGCAGCAAUUUGUUGGGCGCUUUGGACUACUAGAAACAAGUUCACUAUUGAACAUAUUUUCCCGGCUAACCCUGUGAGUUGCUUAAGCUAAUGUCUUUUUGCAGAAGUGGAGAUCAUUGACUAAGGAUGGGGACCUUGAGGCGUUCGACGAUAUGCUAUCCAAAAUGAAAUCUACUGCUUCUUCUCUACUGCGACGGUCCAGGAGGACGGUUUCUUAGUGUUUCAAUUGCUCGUUUGGCUGGCCUGCAUGCCAUGAUAGGCUGGAUGCCUUGUACCCAUACUUUCUAGUCAUACUGUGUUAAACUUAUAUGGUUUCUUUCUGGUGGUUGUGACUCUGCCUGGUGGCUUUAUCUAUAAAGUCGGGCUC
rnacentral:lncRNA from 1 species